UUAAUCCGCGCUGCCCUCAAACCAAAGCACGCAGACUGUUUUUAUUUAUAGGCUGUUUCAACUUCAAUUUCAAAUGAUUUUCUAACAAGUUUUUAUUUUCUAAGAACAGUUUGAAUUUAGGUGUGUUCCGCCUCCUCAAUCAUUCACAUAAAAAUAGUCAUUUUUACUUUUGUGGACAAUGAAAUUUUUGGGACAUUUCUGACCCGGACAAAAUUCCCCAAGCACUUUCCAAUUGUUUGUGCAGUUCAAGUCUGCAGACAUUUGCUAAUCUCCCGUCAGAAAAGGAUCUGCACACGUGUUCACAUUUUCCAUCUGUUGCCCUCAUUGUUUUCGUUACUAAUAAUAACUUUGGAAAUGUGUGCGUUUCUAUCAAACUACAUGGCCUUAUGACUCCCUAGUGGCGCAGCGGUCAAAGGCACAGCACGGUGCUAGAGACGUCACUACAGACUCCCUGGUUCAAAUCCAUGCUGCGUUUCUAAAAACCACAAACAGUAUUUGCCAAUAUCAUAACUGGACAUCUUUCGAGCUGAAGAUUGAGGACAGCUUUUGUAUGCUAACGUUCUCUCCUUAACAGUUUUACUGGAUGGAAACACAGCAAGAAAACACAUAGGCCAAUAUUGACUGAACAACAACUGCAUUUCCACCCCCACCUCUAAAGGCAUAGUAUCAUGGCAGGUCACCUGUCAAGUCACCUGUCAGGUCAGUCAGUCACUUAUUGCUGCAGAUGUGCUCAAUAAUGCUUGAGCAUGUGAUACUCCUCAAAGCAUGGUGAAAUACAUAGAGGUGUAUCACAAGCUAAACACAUGUAUUUUGUCAUCUUCCUCUGCUUACUUCUCCUGGCGCCAGACAGGCAGACUUUGCAGUGCCUCCGUGUGCGACUACCUUGAGCAGCAGUUUGAGGGACUUUGCAGGGAAAAUGCCGUGCAGUGAGGCGUAGGGGAUUGUCUAAAGCAGGGCGACCCCCAGUGGAGGGGCGCCGAGGGGUGUGGUGCUCCUCCAACAGCUCUCUCAUGAGGUUCUCUCUGUAUUUUUGGUAGGUAAUUACUUUACCUAUGAGGGAGUGGGGAGGAUGAGGAAAGUUAGAGGAUGAUGAGGCAGUGGGUAGGUUGGUGAGAUAUUGUCACUGUAAUUGCAUAAUGGAUUUGUAUGUGAACUGUACAUCCAAUUACAAAAAUACCUGUUUCAGUAAUCAUCUCACCUGUUAGUUGACGGUGAACUAUGCUGCCGUUGAGGACAGCAGUGUCGAUCAGCUGGAAAAAUAUCUUCUUAUACCACUUGGUCGUUUUCCGAGUGCAUUCCACAAAGCUGUUUAUCAUGUCCGCCUUAUCCACGGCCCCCAUUUUGAGGUUAUAGUCUAGCACACAAUCUGG